AAACAAUGCGGUUUCUGCAUAUGAGUUGGAUUGGUCUUGCCCAACGGCUAUAGUUGUUGGGAAUGAACAUAUGGGUAUCAGUGAUGAGGCUUUGCAGUUGUCUGAUUU